GGUGGCCAGGUCUACUCAGCUCCGUUUUGACUGCUCCUCCUCCAACUGCUACUACUACUGCGUCUGCUGCUGCUACUACUGCUGCUGCUGCAUCUGCAACCUGCAACACUCACACCCACGCACCACCACGGCAUCAGAAGUAGACGCGUCGCGUUCAGUCUUCGUCCUGCAGCUUAACGUCAUGUCGCGUAGUGUUCGGCCCAAAAAAAUAAAACAAGCCCAGACUGUAAGGUGACUGAACCGAUCCUUAGCCCAUCACCAUCCUCUUCCCCACUCAAGUGCCGUGGAUGUGUGUCAAUUAAAAAGUCUCGUCUCAGUGAGUCGCGUGUUUAAUUUGCGGCACGUUUCCCACACACACUCACUAUCAAUUUAAUUAAAACGCCACAGACAGACCCAUAAAUAUCUUCCAACAAACCCACCCAAACAAUUCACCGAAUCAAACUAAAAAUUAAACACAAUAUUGCGGCCAAAACCGAACCAAAAAGACCAUACCAAUCUCCAGAUAGAGAGAGAUAGAGGGAUUGAUGGAGAAAGAGAUGGAGGGAGGCUGAACCUAGCCCCGAAAAUCGAUAAAAUGAAUCGUUUUAACGUUGCGGUCGAAUGAAUCUACAUCGAAUUUUCAAUUUUCAGGGUAAGUUGACAAUAAACAACCACAAAAUAUCAAUUGCAGAAAAUCGCUUUUUGUGCUGCUUAGCCCACAAAAUACAAAAGGCAUUGAGAAACUCUUUCAACUCGGCUGCACUUUCCUCCGGGCUGAAAUUGAUAUUUUCGCCAAUGGAAAUGGAAAUGUAAUUAACGCCAGCUUAUAUGUAUAUUUUCCUUUUGCUUUUCUGCCUUCUGCAGUUUGUAGUUCGCAGUUGCAGUUCCUCGGGUCGUGUCAUUGAAAUAAACAAACUUGCGAGUCAGCCAAGCAGAAAAUUAAAUUGCAAAUUCGACAGGUAUUAGAAGUGGUGGCAAAUUUGGGGAAAGGUAGGCAGGAAACGCUUUGACAGAAUCAAUCAAGCAAAAUUAAUAUUCUAAGUGCUCUCACUUACAUGUUUAUUAUAUUUUUUAAGAAAACAAUGAUUAAUAGAAGGCAUUUAAUAAAUAUCCAUAGGCUAAUAUGAUUGUGUUAUCGUAAUUAUAUA